GAUGAAGAACGUAGCGAAAUGCGAUAAGUAGUGUGAAUUGCAGAAUUCAGCGAAUCAUCGAAUCUUUGAACGCACAUUGCGCCCUUCGGUUAUUCCUUAGGGCAUGCCUGUUCGAGCGUCAUUUCAUCCUUCAAGCCUGGCUUGGUGUUGGGCGCUGUCCCGCCUCCGCGCGCGGACUCGCCCCAAAUGAAUUGGCAGUCGCACCCUCCGAGCCGCGAGCGCAGCACAAGUCGCGCGGGCGGAACUCUGGGGGGACGGACGCUCCACAAGACCCUUUCUCAGUCUUGACCUCGGAUCAGGUAGGGAUACCCGCUGAACUUAAGCAUAUCAAUAAGCGGAGGA
rnacentral:misc_RNA from 1 species